AUGUGGCAGCUGCAGUCCUGGGUGCCCGGGAUGCCAGGCAAUGGGUGUCCCAGGCCCAUCAGGGUGGCCCUGGGGGCCGUGAAAGGCGCCCUGGAGCUGGUGAGUGAGAGAAAGGAUGGGGCGUGGCUGGCAGUUGAGGAUAACCGAGACAGCUCUCACUGUCCCCUUCCUCUCCAGGUUGCCCACCCGAUGCUGUCCUGGGCUGAAGCCACGUUCUCAUGGGCACUGAAGAGGCUCUGCAAACCCCUGCUGGACCUGUGUAUCCUCACAGCCAGGAACUACUCGGUGGUGGUGAUGCUGCCACUGCUGCCUGGUGGGGAUGACGCCCUGGAUGUGGCCCAGGUGACCAGCUGCCUGAUAGAGGAGAAGCUGCUGCUGCUGCUGCCGCUCCAAGAGAUGUCCAGGUCCAACGUGCCAGCCGAGUUCUACUGGCUCAGACACCACCUGCUGCAGGGUCCCUGGGACUGUGAGUCCUUCCCUGGGCUGUGCUGCCCUCUGCCCCAUGGGCACAGCAGCAGGGCCAGGUACUGUGGGGACACAGGGAAGCCUGCAGAGGCUUGUGGCAUCAAAGUGCCAGGCCCAGAGCUUACUGGACUUCCCAAGGUCCUAUGGGACUAGGGCUGAG
rnacentral:lncRNA from 1 species